rnacentral:rRNA from 1 species
GGUUAAGCGACUAAGCGUACACGGUGGAUGCCCUGGCAGUCAGAGGCGAUGAAGGACGUGCUAAUCUGCGAAAAGCGUCGGUAAGGUGAUAUGAACCGUUAUAACCGGCGAUGUCCGAAUGGGGAAACCCAGUGUGAUUCGUCACACUAUCGUUAACUGAAUACAUAGGUUAACGAGGCGAACCGGGGGAACUGAAACAUCUAAGUACCCCGAGGAAAAGAAAUCAACCGAGAUUCCCCCAGUAGCGGCGAGCGAACGGGGAGCAGCCCAGAGUCUGAAUCAGCUUGUGUGUUAGUGGAACGGUCUGGAAAGUCCGACGGUACAGGGUGAUAGUCCCGUACACCAAAAUGCACAGGUUGUGAACUCGAAGAGUAGGGCGGGACACGUGGUAUCCUGUCUGAAUAUGGGGGGACCAUCCUCCAAGGCUAAAUACUCCUGACUGACCGAUAGUGAACCAGUACCGUGAGGGAAAGGCGAAAAGAACCCCGGCGAGGGGAGUGAAAAAGAACCUGAAACCGUGUACGUACAAGCAGUGGGAGCACCUUCGGGUGUGACUGCGUACCUUUUGUAUAAUGGGUCAGCGACUUAUAUUCUGUAGCAAGGUUAACCGUAUAGGGGAGCCGCAGGGAAACCGAGUCUUAACUGGGCGUUAAGUUGCAGGGUAUAGACCCGAAACCCGGUGAUCUAGCCAUGGGCAGGUUGAAGGUUGGGUAACACUAACUGGAGGACCGAACCGACUAAUGUUGAAAAAUUAGCGGAUGACUUGUGGCUGGGGGUGAAAGGCCAAUCAAACCGGGAGAUAGCUGGUUCUCCCCGAAAGCUAUUUAGGUAGCGCCUCGUGAAUUCAUCUUCGGGGGUAGAGCACUGUUUCGGCUAGGGGGUCAUCCCGACUUACCAACCCGAUGCAAACUACGAAUACCGAAGAAUGUUAUCACGGGAGACACACGGCGGGUGCUAACGUCCGUCGUGAAGAGGGAAACAACCCAGACCGCCAGCUAAGGUCCCAAAGUCAUGGUUAAGUGGGAAACGAUGUGGGAAGGCACAGACAGCCAGGAUGUUGGCUUAGAAGCAGCCAUCAUUUAAAGAAAGCGUAAUAGCUCACUGGUCGAGUCGGCCUGCGCGGAAGAUGUAACGGGGCUAAACCAUGCACCGAAGCUGCGGCAGCGACACUAUGUGUUGUUGGGUAGGGGAGCGUUCUGUAAGCCUGCGAAGGUGUGCUGUGAGGCAUGCUGGAGGUAUCAGAAGUGCGAAUGCUGACAUAAGUAACGAUAAAGCGGGUGAAAAGCCCGCUCGCCGGAAGACCAAGGGUUCCUGUCCAACGUUAAUCGGGGCAGGGUGAGUCGACCCCUAAGGCGAGGCCGAAAGGCGUAGUCGAUGGGAAACAGGUUAAUAUUCCUGUACUUGGUGUUACUGCGAAGGGGGGACGGAGAAGGCUAUGUUAGCCGGGCGACGGUUGUCCCGGUUUAAGCAUGUAGGCUGGUUAUCCAGGCAAAUCCGGAUAAUCAAGGCUGAGGUGUGAUGACGAGGUACUACGGUGCUGAAGUAACAAAUGCCCUGCUUCCAGGAAAAGCCUCUAAGCAUCAGGUAACAUCAAAUCGUACCCCAAACCGACACAGGUGGUCAGGUAGAGAAUACCAAGGCGCUUGAGAGAACUCGGGUGAAGGAACUAGGCAAAAUGGUGCCGUAACUUCGGGAGAAGGCACGCUGGUGUGUAGGUGAAGUCCCUGCGGAUGGAGCUGAGACCAGUCGAAGAUACCAGCUGGCUGCAACUGUUUAUUAAAAACACAGCACUGUGCAAACACGAAAGUGGACGUAUACGGUGUGACGCCUGCCCGGUGCCGGAAGGUUAAUUGAUGGGGUUAUCCGUAAGGAGAAGCUCUUGAUCGAAGCCCCGGUAAACGGCGGCCGUAACUAUAACGGUCCUAAGGUAGCGAAAUUCCUUGUCGGGUAAGUUCCGACCUGCACGAAUGGCGUAAUGAUGGCCAGGCUGUCUCCACCCGAGACUCAGUGAAAUUGAACUCGCUGUGAAGAUGCAGUGUACCCGCGGCAAGACGGAAAGACCCCGUGAACCUUUACUAUAGCUUGACACUGAACAUUGAGCCUUGAUGUGUAGGAUAGGUGGGAGGCUUUGAAGCGUGGACGCCAGUCUGCGUGGAGCCAACCUUGAAAUACCACCCUUUAAUGUUUGAUGUUCUAACGUUGGCCCCUGACCGGGGUUGCGGACAGUGUCUGGUGGGUAGUUUGACUGGGGCGGUCUCCUCCCAAAGCGUAACGGAGGAGCACGAAGGUUAGCUAAUCCUGGUCGGACAUCAGGAGGUUAGUGCAAUGGCAUAAGCUAGCUUGACUGCGAGCGUGACGGCGCGAGCAGGUGCGAAAGCAGGUCAUAGUGAUCCGGUGGUUCUGAAUGGAAGGGCCAUCGCUCAACGGAUAAAAGGUACUCCGGGGAUAACAGGCUGAUACCGCCCAAGAGUUCAUAUCGACGGCGGUGUUUGGCACCUCGAUGUCGGCUCAUCACAUCCUGGGGCUGAAGUAGGUCCCAAGGGUAUGGCUGUUCGCCAUUUAAAGUGGUACGCGAGCUGGGUUUAGAACGUCGUGAGACAGUUCGGUCCCUAUCUGCCGUGGGCGCUGGAGAAUUGAGGGGGGCUGCUCCUAGUACGAGAGGACCGGAGUGGACGCAUCACUGGUGUUCGGGUUGUCAUGCCAAUGGCACUGCCCGGUAGCUAAAUGCGGAAGAGAUAAGUGCUGAAAGCAUCUAAGCACGAAACUUGCCCCGAGAUGAGUUCUCCCUGAGACUUUAAGUCUCCUGAAGGAACGUUGAAGACGACGACGUUGAUAGGCCGGGUGUGUAAGCGCAGCGAUGCGUUGAGCUAACCGGUACUAAUGAACCGUGAGGCUUAACCUU